GGUGGCUCAGUGGUAAGAUCACUUGCCUUGCAUGCUUGAGGCCCUGGGUUUGAUUCCCAGCACCA
rnacentral:tRNA from 1 species